AUUGAACGCUGGCGGCAGGCCUAACACAUGCAAGUCGAACGAGUGGCGGACGGGUGAGUAAUGUCUGGGAAACUGCCUGAUGGAGGGGGAUAACUACGGGAAACGGUAGCUAAUACCGCAUACCAUCGGAUGUGCCCAGAUGGGAUUAGCUAGUAGGUGGGGUAACGGCUCACCUAGGCGACGAUCCCUAGCUGGUCUGAGAGGGUGAACAGCCACACUGGGACGGAGACACGGCCCAGACUCCUACGGGAGGCAGCAGUGGGGAAUAUUGGACAAUGGGCGCAAGCCUGAUGCAGCCAUGCCGCGUGUAUGAAGAAGGCCUUCGGGUUGUAAAGUACUUUCGGCGGGGAGGCGUUACCCGCACAAGAAGCACCGGCUAACUCCGUGCCAGCAGCCGCGGUAAUAC
rnacentral:rRNA from 1 species